rnacentral:rRNA from 1 species
GACAGAGGGUGCAAACGUUGUUCGGAUUUACUGGGCGUAAAGGGCGCGUAGGCGGCCACCGCAAGUCGACUGUGAAAUCUCCGGGCUUAACCCGGAAAGGUCAGCCGAUACUGCGGGGCUAGAGUGCAGAAGGGGCAAUUGGAAUUCUCGGUGUAGCGGUGAAAUGCGUAGAUAUCGAGAGGAACACCUGCGGCGAAGGCGGGUUGCUGGGCUGACACUGACGCUGAGGCGCGAAAGCUAGGGGAGCGAACGGG